rnacentral:tRNA from 1 species
UGGCUCAGUUGGUAGAGCAUGGUGUUUGCAACGCCAGGGUUGUGGGUUCGAUUCCUGU